rnacentral:tmRNA from 1 species
GGGGGCGAAAGGACUCGACGGAGGUAGUGAGAGCUAAGCUGCAUGCCGUGGUCCUCACCGCCACGUAAAAAAGGUGGGAAAAACACAACUGCCAACUCUGAAUUGGCACUCGCUGCUUAAUUAAAAGCAGCCGUCUUCCUGAGUUUUGCUCUGAGGCUCAGGCAAGACGUCAUAAAUCAGAGCUCCUCUUAAGCAUUUAACCCGGUGCUUAAGAGAAGACCUCAGGGUUGUAGGAACUUAGAGAGCCAGUGGAAGGGCGAGCUAAGUUCCGAAUUUCAAAACUUCCACUAAGCAUGUAGAAGCUUAGUGGUAGCACCUUCGGACGCGGGUUCGAUUCCCGCCGCCUCCACCA